rnacentral:tRNA from 1 species
AAGAAAUAUGUCUGACAAAAGAAUUACU